UACGUAGGGUGCAAGCGUUAAUCGGAAUUACUGGGCGUAAAGCGUGCGCAGGCGGUUGGGUGUGUCAGAUGUGAAAUCCCGAGGCUCAACCUCGGAACUGCGUCUGAAACUACUCGACUAGAGUAUUGGAGAGGGUAACGGAAUUCACGGUGUAGCAGUGAAAUGCGUAGAUAUCGUGAGGAACACCAGAGGCGAAGGCGGUUACCUGGACAAUUACUGACGCUCAGGCACGAAAGCAUGGGGAGCAAAAGGG
rnacentral:rRNA from 1 species